GUGUGGACCUUUGACUAUAACUCUCCAAAGUUGAUAGUCAAGUACUUGAAUAUAAAUGUGCAUGUGUGCUUUCCAAUAUGUGUAGUUUGUUCUAUUGAACAAAGAUGGACGGUUCGUCGAUUAUCCUUUAAUAAGAGAUGUACUUAUUUGGGUUGUCAUUUGAUCUUAACUCUUGAUUGUUAAAUCAAAUGCAAGUGAGUAUCAAGCUCUGAUACCACUUGUUGCCC
rnacentral:lncRNA from 1 species